CUAAGUAGUAGUGCCGUAGGUAA
rnacentral:miRNA from 1 species